CAGGGGUCAGCUAAGGACCGGGCUAUACAUGUGGUCAAACUAUUACUCAAAGCACUGAUGGUUCACAGGCUGCCUCUCAUCAGC